rnacentral:rRNA from 1 species
CUAGCGUUGUUCGGAAUUACUGGGCGUAAAGCGCGCGCAGGCGGCUAUCCAAGUCAGUGGUGAAAGCCCGGAGCUCAACUCCGGAACUGCCAUUGAAACUGUUUAGCUUGAGGAUGAGAGAGGUGAGUGGAAUUCCCAGUGUAGAGGUGAAAUUCGUAGAUAUUGGGAAGAACACCGGUGGCGAAGGCGGCUCACUGGCUCAUUACUGACGCUCAGGCGCGAUAGCGUGGGGAUCAAACAGG